rnacentral:rRNA from 1 species
UACAGAGGGGGCAAGCGUUGUUCGGAAUUACUGGGCGUAAAGGGCGCGUAGGCGGCCUGUUAAGUCGAACGUGAAAUCCCCAGGCUCAACCUGGGAACUGCGUCCGAUACUGGCAGGCUUGAAUCCGGGAGAGGGAUGCGGAAUUCCAGGUGUAGCGGUGGAAAUCGCGGUAGAUAAUCUGGAGGAACACCGGUGGCGAAGGCGGCAUCCUCGGGACCGACACUGAGCCGCUGAGGGAGCGAAA